rnacentral:tRNA from 1 species
AAGGGUUUAGUGUAAUUGGUAUCACGCCUUAUUCGUGUUAAGAGGAUGCGGGUUCAAAUCUCGUGACCCUUA